rnacentral:rRNA from 6 species
GGACCUCAGAUCAGGCAAGAUUACCCGCUGAGUUUAAGCAUAUCACUA